ensembl:lncRNA
GAGUAAUUCUGUGUACUAUUAUGUAACCUUUAGGGUUAAACCUUUCAGCAUAGGGGUUCAUCAUAGAUAUAAACCUAUUAUGCAUACUCAUAGGAAUACGCUUACUGUGAAAAAAGCCUUCGCCCCAUCUUUUAGGCUGUGAGGAUUGUGGACAUGCUUUCUGGGUGGGAAGGAUAACCCACACUAUCUCACUAGCCAAUAGAGGGCAUCUGUGAGCUCAUGUAUGUGGAAGAGGGCCUAUAGCACUUUCCUACAAGAGUGUUGCACUGUCCUGUGACACAACAUGAGCAGCAGUUCAGAAAGAACCUGUUGGAUGACUUCACAUGUCUCGGAGGAAGCAUGUGUUCGCCUUCACCUUCACCUGGUUGGUAGAUUUCCUAUGAUUGGUUAGAGCUGGCUGGUGGUGUGGUUGAGAAUUGGCAAGUGAGCAAAUUAGGAAGAAAAGUUUAAUCACUUGACACCAGUGACUAUGUGAAUAUUUUGAGUCCUUAUGUUAUGUAUUUUUCCUUUUUUAAAAAAAAAAUAAUAAAGAGAGGGAUGACUCAACCCCACUAGCCUAAUUACACCAGCCGGGCCUGCAUUUGUUGCUUUCCCUCUCACUUUCAGCAUGCUUUAUGGCAAAUAUUAGUACACUUGUUUUGCAAACUGAAGCCAGUACAGACAUCUCAGUCAAUCUCAGACCGAGCUGUAAGUGUGAAAGAUGAGGUGUUUUGGAGUUGUCAUCUGGCUGCCGUGGACUCAUGGGACAGCAUUCUGGACGAGGACCUAUGCCAGGCCCGUUUGCUGACUCAGUGCCUUAUGUGUCCUGCCUUUUUCCUAGAGCAGGUGCCGAGGAAGAGACAACAGAUCAGUGACUAGUGUGACACACACUUCAUUAGGAAGACGAAUGGUUUAUUUGGAGUGUAUAAAUCACAUAAACAUUGUAUAUGGAGAGACGGAGAGGAUGCCAAAAUGCAGCUGGAAUCUCAUCCUUACUGCUCAAAAAGGAUGCCUGGACCUCCUACCCGCUGUUUCACCA